UACGUAGGGCGCAAGCGUUAUCCGGAAUUAUUGGGCGUAAAGAGCUCGUAGGCGGUUUGUCGCGUCUGCUGUGAAAGACCGGGGCUCAACUCCGGUUCUGCAGUGGGUACGGGCAGACUAGAGUGCAGUAGGGGAGACUGGAAUUCCUGGUGUAGCGGUGAAAUGCGCAGAUAUCAGGAGGAACACCGAUGGCGAAGGCAGGUCUCUGGGCUGUAACUGACGCUGAGGAGCGAAAGCGUGGGUAGCGAACAGG
rnacentral:rRNA from 1 species